AUUGAACGCUGGCGGCAGGCCUAACACAUGCAAGUCGAACGGUAACAGAAGGCAGCUUGCUGCUUUGCUGACGAGUGGCGGACGGGUGAGUAAUGUCUGGGAAACUGUCUGAUGGAGGGGGAUAACUACUGGAAACGGUAGCUAAUACCGCAUAACGUCGCAAGACCAAAGAGGGGGACCUUCGGGCCUCUUGCCAUCGGAUGUGCCCAGAUGGGAUUAGCUAGUAGGUGGGGUAAAGGCUCACCUAGGCGACGAUCCCUAGCUGGUCUGAGAGGAUGACCAGCCACACUGGAACUGAGACACGGUCCAGACUCCUACGGGAGGCAGCAGUGGGGAAUAUUGCACAAUGGGCGGAAGCCUGAUGCAGCCAUGCCGCGUGUAUGAAGAAGGCCUUCGGGUUGUAAAGUACUUUCAGCGGGGAGGAAGGGAGUAAAGUUAAUACCUUUGCUGAUUGACGUUACCCGCAGAAGAAGCACCGGCUAACUCCGUG
rnacentral:rRNA from 1 species